GUGCAUUUGUUGGAUAACCAAGGCCACACAUGUUCUGGUUGUGGGGUCUGAGCAACAAUGCAUAGAGUAAAAGCCGUUCGAUCGGCGGCGGCCAGACAACUGCAGGGAUGGUUCCACAGAUGACUGAUUAAAAUUUCUGUUUGUCUACUGAUACCAUCUCAUAUGU